ensembl:rRNA 5S_rRNA 5S ribosomal RNA
GCCGGCAGCUAGCAUUCUGCAACUCUCUUAUGGCCGCCCUACUGAAACUAAGCAGAGAUGCAGCCAGUUAGUACCUGGAUGGGAGACCACAUAAGAAAGCUAGAUUGCUGCUGGAA